rnacentral:rRNA from 1 species
UGGAGCUGAAAUCAGUCGAAGAUACCAGCUGGCUGCAACUGUUUAUUAAAAACACAGCACUGUGCAAACACGAAAGUGGACGUAUACGGUGUGACGCCUGCCCGGUGCCGGAAGGUUAAUUGAUGGGGUUAUCCGUAAGGAGAAGCUCUUGAUCGAAGCCCCGGUAAACGGCGGCCGUAACUAUAACGGUCCUAAGGUAGCGAAAUUCCUUGUCGGGUAAGUUCCGACCUGCACGAAUGGCGUAAUGAUGGCCAGGCUGUCUCCACCCGAGACUCAGUGAAAUUGAACUCGCUGUGAAGAUGCAGUGUACCCGCGGCAAGACGGAAAGACCCCGUGAACCUUUACUAUAGCUUGACACUGAACACUGGUCCUUGAUGUGUAGGAUAGGUGGGAGGCUUUGAAGUGUGGACGCCAGUCUGCAUGGAGCCAUCCUUGAAAUACCACCCUUUAAUGGCUGGUGUUCUAACGUGGGCCCCUAAUCGGGGUUGCGGACAGUGUCUGGUGGGUAGUUUGACUGGGGCGGUCUCCUCCUAAAGAGUAACGGAGGAGCACGAAGGUCAGCUAAUCCUGGUCGGACAUCAGGAGGUUAGUGCAAUGGCAUAAGCUGGCUUGACUGCGAGCGUGACGGCGCGAGCAGGUGCGAAAGCAGGUCAUAGUGAUCCGGUGGUUCUGAAUGGAAGGGCCAUCGCUCAACGGAUAAAAGGUACUCCGGGGAUAACAGGCUGAUACCGCCCAAGAGUUCAUAUCGACGGCGGUGUUUGGCACCUCGAUGUCGGCUCAUCACAUCCUGGGGCUGAAGUAGGUCCCAAGGGUAUGGCUGUUCGCCAUUUAAAGUGGUACGCGAGCUGGGUUUAGAACGUCGUGAGACAGUUCGGUCCCUAUCUGCCGUGGGCGCUGGAGAAUUGAGGGGGGCUGCUCCUAGUACGAGAGGACCGGAGUGGACGCAUCACUGGUGUUCGGGUUGUCAUGCCAAUGGCAUUGCCCGGUAGCUAAAUGCGGAAGAGAUAAGUGCUGAAAGCAUCUAAGCACGAAACUUGCCCCGAGAUGAGUUCUCCCUGACCCUUUAAGGGUCCUGAAGGAACGUUGAAGACGACGACGUUGAUAGGCCGGGUGUGUAAGCGCAGCGAUGCGUUGAGCUAACCGGUACUAAUGAACCGUGAGGCUUAACCUUACAACGCCGAAG